UACGUAGGGACCGAGCGUUGUCCGGAAUCAUUGGGCGUAAAGAGCGUGUAGGCGGCUUGCUAAGUCUUGCGUGAAAUCUCGGGGCUCAACCCCGAGCGGUCGUGGGAAACUGGCAGGCUAGAGUGCGGGAGAGGAGAAUGGAAUUCCUGGUGUAGCGGUGAAAUGCGCAGAUAUCAGGAAGAACACCCGUGGCGAAGGCGGUUCUCUGGAACGCAACUGACGCUGAGGUGCGAAAGCGUGGGGAGCAAACAGG
rnacentral:rRNA from 1 species